GAUGAACGCUGGCGGCGUGCCUAACACAUGCAAGUCGAGCGAUUCUCUUCGGAGAAGAGCGGCGGACGGGUGAGUAACGCGUGGGUAACCUGCCCUGUACACACGGAUAACAUACCGAAAGGUAUGCUAAUACGAGAUAAUAUGCUUUUAUCGCAUGGUAGAAGUAUCAAAGUUUUUGCGGUACAGGAUGGACCCGCGUCUGAUUAGCUAGUUGGUAAGGUAACGGCUUACCAAGGCGACGAUCAGUAGCCGACCUGAGAGGGUGAUCGGCCACAUUGGAACUGAGACACGGUCCAAACUCCUACGGGAGGCAGCAGUGGGGAAUAUUGCACAAUGGGCGAAAGCCUGAUGCAGCAACGCCGCGUGAGCGAUGAAGGCCUUCGGGUCGUAAGCUCUGUCCUCAAGGAAGAUAAUGACGGUACUUGAGGAGGAAGCCCCGGCUAACUACGUG
rnacentral:rRNA from 1 species